GAUGGAGCAGGAGAGGUUAAAGACCUCGCGCGAGCCCCGGGAAUUGCGCGGCGGCUGCUGCUUCGGCCGCUGAGGUUCGUCAUGGCUACCUCCUCCUGCACCUGCACACCCACCAUCACCACCACUUAACUAGUUUGGUGGUCUUAUCCAUGUUUGAUGCAGCUGCACCAUGCAAUUCAACCACGUCAGUGAUGCCUGUGUUGGGUGGAUCUCUUUCUAUGAUGGAGGUUACAUAGUAAUAUGCUCGUCUGCACCUUACUAAGGUGGUGGCUGCCAACACUAUGUGUGACCAAACUCGGGCUGACGGAGGUGGCCCGAAGAGACCUGCGGCAAAAGCAUGACUGCGCAAAACAGAUCUAGAUGGCGAUUCCGGAGUCAUACACGCGGAUACUUCCCAAGGCACGUGUUGUUCCUGACAAAGUUCUUGUGGGAGUACCUGCUCAACAGCCUAGAGAUAUUGUCAUAGCACCUAGGCCCUGGAGGUCCCCGUGGAGCAACGCCAAGGACCUGAUAGGGUUGGACAAGACUUGACGGUGGUGAGUAGGGCUGAUGACAUCCUGUUCUGCCUUGAACAGCGGUUUCCUGGCCUCUCACAGACCACGCUAGACACAAGCAAGAUACAAUACAAUAAGAAUAGAAGGAGUUGAUGGGCAUGGUGUGAUCAGCGACACAAAGAGGAAUAUGCAUGCCAAUGCUUCCCUUGGUUUACUACGACUCGCGCAUGACGCAGUGUGGUGCCGGCGAGGAGGACCAAGCAAGAAGUGGACUAUCAACCUUCGAGUUUCCUGUCAUCCUUGACAUCUAGAAGAUGUCACCCCAAGCCGUCUCUGCACUACAAGUAUACCAAUGAUCUUAUUGUGGGUGCUGAUCAAAACGUACGGAGGGAUGUCUGGCUGGUUAUUUCAACAUGCAAUAGUUGGAGAGAUUUCGUCGGCAAUUACAUGAGGCGCCGAACAUCGUGAAUCUCAUUUCAGAUUUUCAGUCAUCUAAGCAUGACCAAAAGACUAGAUCGGUUUCCUUUGUACUAAAGGAGCCUCAUUCAAGGUCAAGAGCUAGCCAUGUGAUUCCAUCUAUCAUAAAAGCAAAGCAGCUGGAUCCAUAAUCAUGUAUGGUACAAGAUACCUGAUGGCUAGCUAAAGAUCACCUGAUGGAAUAAAGAGUUCCAACAUUAAAUAAACUGUGACUUACAUAUAGAUAAGUGGAGUGCUUUUGCAUUUUAUAUGUCCAUGCAGCUAUUUGCUUCCGUACAGUAUAAUAUUAUUUUUUGUAAAUAUUCACAAGUAGCACUCUUUUUUGUUUACCUCCCUAACCAUGCAUAUAUUAAUUACCCACU